AACGCGAAGAACCUUACCAAGGCUUGACAUCGCCGGAAAUCCCGCAGAGAUGCGGGGUCCUUUUUGGGCCGGUGACAGGUGGUGCAUGGCUGUCGUCAGCUCGUGUCGUGAGAUGUUGGGUUAAGUCCCGCAACGAGCGCAACCCUCGUUCCAUGUUGCCAGCAACACCUUCGGGUGGUUGGGGACUCAUGGGAGACCGCCGGGGUCAACUCGGAGGAAGGUGGGGAUGACGUCAAGUCAUCAUGCCCCUUAUGUCUUGGGCUGCAAACAUGCUACAAUGGCCGGUACAGUGGGCUGCGAUACCGUGAGGUGGAGCGAAUCCCUUAAAGCCGGUCUCAGUUCGGAUCGAAGUCUGCAACUCGACUUCGUGAAGUCGGAGUCGCUAGUAAUCGCAGAUCAGCAACGCUGCGGUGAAUACGUUCCCGGGCCUUGUACACACCG
rnacentral:rRNA from 1 species